UUUUGAAGUGAUAGUCAGGGUGGUCCAUUUCCAACAGUUGAGAAGGAGGUGUGAGUAACAGUACGGGAAAAAUUAGCACGGGGAAAUAGUUUCUACGUUGUGAAACGAU